AUAUCUCUCUGUACGGGAAGGAUGAGAAGCUUCGACUAAGGUUCGAUUCGAGCGUCAGCGAGAAAGCGUUGCCGCAGGCAACGACCCGAAGGGCGAAGCGCGCAGCGCUGAGUCAUCCUUCCCCCACCA
rnacentral:sRNA from 1 species